rnacentral:lncRNA from 1 species
GGGUAACAGUGCUGUAGCGGCUUGGCAGAGUUGCGGAGUUUUGAAGGUAUAUUAAAUGUAAAAAUAAAGAUAAAAAUAAAACUGUACAUGUAAAAUAAAUUAGAAACAUUCCACAGACCACAAGACCUAGAGACCAAAAUAAUGUAUAUAUACAACGUUGGCCAUCAGCACAGCUAUGGAAGAGGCAUCGUAAAAAGAAUCCAUACUAAAGUCCAGCAAACUUUAAGAGAAGAACCCACUAGUGCACUUAGCCCAAACACAAGCAGAGUCAACAAAAAAGAAUAUCUCCUCUUACCAUACUUUGUGAUCAAACUCAACUCCAUCAAAAUGUUAACGAAAAAAGUGGGGAAAAACUGGCAUACUUUAGGCCACUGACUGUGUUUAACAGACUUAGGAAUGAGAAAGAAAGAAGAGACAACUGACAAAAAUCAGGUGUCUAUAAGAUUCUAGCCAAGUACAACAACUCCCAGCAACAGAUGGCGUACUUAGGGGUAACUUUACAACAAAGAAUAGAUGAACAUAAGAAGGAUAUAUUGCAAAGUCGCAAUUUCUAUCGACUCUAAUAUCAAUAAUAACUACUGAAACCUAACGGUUAAAUGACUCUGCAAAAUCCAGAUUUCUGCCUG